rnacentral:rRNA from 1 species
GACGAACGCUGGCGGCGUGCUUAACACAUGCAAGUCGAACGGAAAGGCCCUGCUUUUGUGGGGUGCUCGAGUGGCGAACGGGUGAGUAACACGUGAGUAACCUGCCCUUGACUUUGGGAUAACUUCAGGAAACUGGGGCUAAUACCGGAUAGGAGCUCCUGCUGCAUGGUGGGGGUUGGAACGUUUCGGCGGUUGGGGAUGGACUCGCGGCUGAUCAGCUUGUUGGUGGGGUAGUGGCUUACCAAGGCUUUGACGGGUAGCCGGCCUGAGAGGGUGACCGGCCACAUUGGGACUGAGAUACGGCCCAGACUCCUACGGGAGGCAGCAGUGGGGAAUAUUGCACAAUGGGCGGAAGCCUGAUGCAGCAACGCCGCGUGCGGGAUGACGGCCUUCGGGUUGUAAACCGCUUUCGCCUGUGACGAAGCGUGAGUGACGGUAAUGGGUAAAGAAGCACCGGCUAACUACGUG